rnacentral:rRNA from 1 species
ACGAACGCUGGCGGCAAGCCUAACACAUGCAAGUCGAACGGACAAUUAUCUAUAGCUUCGGCUAUAAAUAAUUGUUAGUGGCAGACGGGUGAGUAAUGCAUAGGAAUCUACCUAGUAGUAUGGAAUAGCCAUUAGAAAUGAUGGGUAAUACUGUAUAAUCCCUGCGGGGGAAAGAUUUAUCGCUAUUAGAUGAGCCUAUGUUAGAUUAGCUAGUUGGUGAGGUAAUGGCUUACCAAGGCUAUGAUCUAUAGCUGGUCUGAGAGGACGAUCAGCCACACUGGAACUGAGAUACGGUCCAGACUCCUACGGGAGGCAGCAGUGGGGAAUAUUGGACAAUGGGCGAA